CGGCACUCCAGAUGUUUUGGACUACACUUCCUUUGAUGCUUUGCCAGCCUUAUGGGUGUAAGAGCAUUAUGGGGGAUGCAGUCCACAACAUCUGGAGUGCUG
rnacentral:miRNA from 1 species